GAUGAACGCUGGCGGCGUGCCUAAUACAUGCAAGUCGAGCGAACAGACGAGGAGCUUGCUCCUCUGACGUUAGCGGCGGACGUGUGAGUAACACGUGGAUAACCUACCUAUAAGACUGGGAUAACUUCGGGAAACCGGAGCUAAUACCGGAUAAUAUAUUGAACCGCAUGGUUCAAUAGUGAAAGACGGUUUUGCUGUCACUUAUAGAUGGAUCCGCGCCGCAUUAGCUAGUUGGUAAGGUAACGGCUUACCAAGGCAACGAUGCGUAGCCGACCUGAGAGGGUGAUCGGCCACACUGGAACUGAGACCCGGUCCAGACUCCUACGGGAGGCAGCAGUAGGGAAUCUUCCGCAAUGGGCGAAAGCCUGACGGAGCAACGCCGCGUGAGUGAUGAAGGUCUUCGGAUCGUAAAACUCUGUUAUUAGGGAAGAACAAAUGUGUAAGUAACUAUGCACGUCUUGACGGUACCUAAUCAGAAAGCCACGGCUAACUACGUG
rnacentral:rRNA from 1 species